AUGAAAAGAAUUACGAAAGAAGAAUGUUAUUUAAAAUAUAAAGACAUAAGUCAUUUUAUUUGUAAUCAAUUACAACAUAUUUUAACACAUCAGCCACUUAAUGAAAUUUUAGAAUACGAAAAUGGAGAUAUAUAUAUAGGAACAACAGAAAAAAAAAAAAGAGAAGGUUUUGGUUACUAUAUAUAUUUUGAUACUAAAUAUAUAUACCAAGGAGAAUGGGUGAAAAAUGCAAAAAGCGGUUACGGUGUUUUGUACAACCAGAAGGAAAUUAUAUAUUCAGGCGAAUGGCUUAAUAAUAUCGCUCAUGGAUUCGGGUGCAGUUACAAAAAUGAAGAGUUAUAUAUGGGGAGCUACAAAUAUGGCCUGAUGAACGGUGUAGGUAUAUUAAAAAAAAAGAAUAGUUUUAAUUUUUGUUUAUAUAAAAAUAAUGGAAUAAAAGUUUUAAUUAAAAUUUCGAAGAAAAUGAAUAUAUAUUUAUAUUUGUAUAAAAAAAAGCAUAUAAUUUUAAAAGAAAAUUUACAAGAUAUAUUUCCAUUUUAUAUAAAUAAAGAAGUUAGCACAAAAAUACAUGAACAAGUUUUUCAUAAAUUGUUUAGUAUGGGUAAAACAAUUACUAUUGGAGGACAUAAUAUGGAGAAAAUAAAUUACAAUAAACAAUUUUAUUUUAAUUUUUCUGAAAAAAAAUUAAAAUAUAUAAAAAAAAAUAAAUCGCAUUUAGAAAUUUUUCAAAGUAUAUUCAAUCCUAUUGAUAUAUUGAAUAAAAUACAAGAAAAUAGAAAUUAUUUAAAACCUGGCGAAACUACUAAAUAUAUUAACAGUAGUGAUAAUUAUAUUACAAAAUGUAACACUGAUAAAGGAAGUAUUAAACACACUUCUUUUAACAUUUAUGAUAAAAUAAAUAAAGAAAAACAAAGUGAACGAUUUACUUUUUUCCCUAACAAUUAUGUACAAAAAAUGAGUCAAACAAUGAACAAACAAUUGGACAAACAUUGUAAUGUUUUAAAUAUGAAAAUAGAAAACAGAAAAGAAAAAAAAAAUGACGAAGAUACUUCUUUUAGUGAUGACACUAACGAAAGUAACUGUACUAGUUGGUGUAAUAUUAAUCAUGAAAACACAAAUUCAGAUUUAUAUAAUAGUACUAACAGUGGAACUGAUAACAAUAGCGAUUAUUUUGCGAAUAUGAAACAUAAAGAAUUUUUUUUUUCUAUUGAUAAAGGUUUAAAAAAAAAAAAAGAAUAAAAAUAAAGUGUUUAUUUUUUAAAAAAUUAAAAAAUGU
rnacentral:lncRNA from 1 species